CAGAGAUGCUAACAUGAAUGCCAGGACCAUUCGGACCCGAGCUUGAAUGUUUUGCAACCCUAAAUUUUCAAUGUUUGAUCCCCCAUCUACCUUAUAGCGUGGACGCUUUCCAGUGAGUGUUUGAAACAGAGAGAUUAGCGAAGAGACCACUCCAUCGAUGCUCACAUUAAGAUGCCAUGAUCCUACCUCAUCGGCCAACACCUUUGCCCGAGUUGUUGUGGCUUCUGAACUAUUUUCAGAUCCCAUAAAAACAGUGUAAAAAAUGCGUCUAGCGAAUUCUUUGCUAUCUGUUGGAAAUUGACCAUCAGUGUAAUGGCCAAUUCGAAUAGCAUCUGCUUUUAUCUGCUUGUCGCCGUUUGCAAUUUCUUUUACUACAAGCUGGCACAUUGAACCAACUAUAGCAGCAACGGAGGAACUAUCAGCACCACCAGAAAGUGGAAGCAGAAAACCAGAUGCACCACUUCUUCUUAGAUAAUCCCACAGCCAGCAAGCAGGUCCAAG
rnacentral:misc_RNA from 1 species